rfam:Sporosarcina psychrophila strain DSM 6497, complete genome.
GGGGCAUUAGCUCAGCUGGGAGAGUGUCACGCUGGCAGUGUGAAGGUCAGGGGUUCGAGCCCCCUAUGCUCCA